rnacentral:sRNA from 1 species
CAGUCAUGUGGGAACAAAGAACCUUCUGGAAAACAGCAGGAAACAUGACAGGGUCUCUCACUCAAUCUGGACACAUCAACUUCACUAGUCUGACCGGCCAGGAAGUCCAGAGGUCUACCUGUGUCUACUUCCAGUACCCGGCUUUUACACGCAUGCUAUGGAACGCGUGAAAUCACAUCAUUCUUGUAUGGCCUGCACUUUACCAAGUCAACAUCCGCAGCCAAGAGGAAUCAGGACAAGAACUCAAAGCAGGAGGAACUGAAGCGUUGGCUUAUUGGUUCACUAGAAGGCAUGUGCUUAGCUACCUUUUUUCCAC